AGUGAACGCUGGCGGUAGACCUAACACAUGCAAGUCGAACGGCAGCACAGUAAGAGCUUGCUCUUACGGGUGGCGAGUGGCGGACGGGUGAGGAAUACAUCGGAAUCUACUUUUUCGUGGGGGAUAACGUAGGGAAACUUACGCUAAUACCGCAUACGACCUACGGGUGAAAGCAGGGGAUCUUCGGACCUUGCGCGAUUGAAUGAGCCGAUGUCGGAUUAGCUAGUUGGCGGGGUAAAGGCCCACCAAGGCGACGAUCCGUAGCUGGUCUGAGAGGAUGAUCAGCCACACUGGAACUGAGACACGGUCCAGACUCCUACGGGAGGCAGCAGUGGGGAAUAUUGGACAAUGGGCGCAAGCCUGAUCCAGCCAUACCGCGUGGGUGAAGAAGGCCUUCGGGUUGUAAAGCCCUUUUGUUGGGAAAGAAAAGCAGCAGGUUGAUACCCCGCUGUUCUGACGGUACCCAAAGAAUAAGCACCGGCUAACUUCGUG
rnacentral:rRNA from 1 species